rnacentral:tRNA from 1 species
AAGAUAAGGUCAGCUAAUAAAGCUUUCGGGCCCAUACCCCGAACAUGACGGUUAAAAUCCCUCCCCUAUCA